AUGGCAGCCGAGGGCCACCUCGCGCUCGCGCCUCUUCCUUCCUCCGUUCGGCCUCAAGCGCACCACCGCUCCCCUCCUCUGCUUCGCCUUCUCGCCGGAGAUCGCGUCGCUGCGUCUUCUUUACCUCCUUCCCGAGUCCCUGCAACAUCCAAGGUAGCCGCUAUCCCCUGCCGGUGGUCUCCGCUGUCCUGGUGCUCCUCCGCGUGCUGCUGCGGUUGA
rnacentral:rRNA from 1 species